rnacentral:rRNA from 1 species
GUAGGUGGCAAGCGUUGUCCGGAAUUAUUGGGCGUAAAGCGCGCGCAGGCGGUUCUUUAAGUCUGAUGUGAAAGCCCACGGCUCAACCGUGGAGGGUCAUUGGAAACUGGAGAACUUGAGUACAGAAGAGGAAAGCGGAAUUCCACGUGUAGCGGUGAAAUGCGUAGAGAUGUGGAGGAACACCAGUGGCGAAGGCGGCUUUCUGGUCUGUAACUGACGCUGAGGCGCGAAAGCGUGGGGGGAGCAAACAGGAUUAGAUACCCUGGUAGUCCACGCCGUAAACGAUGAGUGCUAAGUGUUAGGGGGUUUCCCGCCCCUUAGUGCUGCGGCUAACGCAUUAAGCACUCCGCCUGGGAGUACGGCCGCAAGGCUG